rnacentral:rRNA from 1 species
CGAAUGAGGAAACUCACUUAGAGUAAUGUCUAAGUAUCAUUAAGUGAAUACAUAGCUUAAUGAGGGGAACUCAGGGAACUGAAACAUCUAAGUACCUGAAGGAAGAGAAAGAAAUUCGAUUCCGUAAGUAGCGGCGAGCGAACGCGGAUUAGCCCAAACCAAUAAAGUUUUCUUUAUUGGGGUUGCGGACAUAUCAUAACGAAGAGGUAUCGUAAUUGAAGAGGUUUGGAAAGACUCACCACAGAAGGUAAUAGUCCUGUAUGUUAAACGAGAAGACUUCAGAUAUGAUCCAGAGUACCACGGGACACGUGAAACCCUGUGGGAAGCAGGAGGGACC